GCUGCCGUUUGGAAGCAAUUAAAGAAAGUAAAGCAACAAACCUAAUCAGUUUUAUUUUUUCUGUUGUUCUUCUCUGCCGAAAAUAUUAGUCGAAACUAAAAUACACCAACAAGGUUUUCCACCUUUCUUCUCUGUUGUUCAGCCGCCAACAAGGUUUUCCACCUUUCUUCUCUGGUUGCAAAGAUCAAGGAGUUUGGUAUCACAACUCCAGACACAAAUUACCAAACAUGUUUAGGUUGCCUGCAAGAAACAGAUUUGAUGCAAGUUCAUAGGAUUUCUUGAGCCAUACAUGGAAGAUAGUCACUCCGAGGGAUGGAAGCAUUACAUUGACAUUGGGUAGUUUUGUAGUGAUUUCUUUUAUUGAUGUAAGCCUUCUAAGGUAACUUAUUUCUGCUAUAGUUUUUUCUUUCACUUCUUUAUGAUGGGAGAUAUGCCAUGUAUAGCUUUAGAUUGCACUUUAUCUCUCAUAUGCUUGUUUUUGCAUCGGUCCCCGUCCUUUUGCAGUGAUUGGGAAAAAUCAGCACUGCUUAAUGGUUCGUAUUUGGAUUUUGAUUUUGACUUUUUGAGUAAUGAUUUCUCAUA